GUUGGGAGCUAUGAAACGAGGGCUCGAGGCUGAUGAUGCGUAAACCAUUUGUGGCAUGUAUUUAAUCUCCGGACAAUGGAUAGAGAUGUUAGUGCAUGCUACACUAAGUUCUAUUUACGCUGGCUAUUAAGUGCAGUCAAGCUGAAGGCAAUCGGAGCACAUUACAGGGCCUAAUGGGAGAGGAUGCUACACAACAGUACAUUAAAGACUGAAAAUGAAUUAAGAAGGAAGCAUGGUAGAGAAAGCAGACAAGGAAAGGGUUCUGUAUACAGAUAACUCUUAUUGACAGCACAAAUAUUCAUGUACUCUGAGUUCCCAAAUCCAAUUUUGGUAUUGGAUACCACUCUAGAGGGAAUGUUUUGAACUCCAUUUUCAUGCAGAUACAAAGUGACUUGCAGUCUGCCCCCUCCCACCUCACUCUCAGCAGCUUGCAUAACCUGAUGCUGGGAAAUGCGUCCCGGUUGCAAAGCUGAGAUGAAUCAUCCUUGACCAGCCAAAUCAGCUGGACCUUCUCUUCCCACUCCCUGAAAUGCAGCAGGGCCCAGGGGUUAUGGGAACACCUUGCUGCACUCUCAGUGCUGGUCACUCUCCUUGGCACCUCUUGCUCUGGCUGUUGCACAGCUGAGGAAAUUCAAGCCCCCUGGGAAAAACAGGAGGAAAAUGCACCAUGGGAGAAGCAUGUGAUCAUCGAAGUCCAAAAGAAAUGAUUUUCACACUGUACUUGGAGAGGGUUGGAGAGAAGUGCCAGGAACAAAGCAGGACUCAUCGGCUCCAUGGUGCUGUUUGCUCCCAGCAGAGUCCUUGCUGCCCACCACCUACACACCACGGCAGAUUAAACUCCAUUAUCACUCUCAGCGUGUUCCUCACCACCCACUGUGCCAAGGGUUUGAACCCCCAGGUAUCAGAUCAGCAGCUGAAGAUGCCAUAUACACCAGGGGAGCAGCAGCAGUUGUCCCAUCUGUCCCACCAAAGCUGCUGGGGUGACCCGCAGUGUCUGCCCUCUGGGCAUCUCCGCUCUGAUUUUUUUUGGACACUAAUGCAAUUUGCCAUGUCCUCCAUGCCAAAGCCAGUAACAACCCCAGUGCAGCCAAC
rnacentral:lncRNA from 1 species